rnacentral:rRNA from 1 species
CCCAGACUCCUACGGGAGGCAGCAGUGGGGGAUAUUGCACAAUGGGGGGAACCCUGAUGCAGCGACGCCGCGUGGGUGAAGAAGUAUUUCGGUAUGUAAAGCCCUAUCGGCAGGGAAGAAAUUGGACGGUACCUGACUAAGAAGCCCCGGCUAACUACGUGCCAGCAGCCGCGGUAAUACGUAGGGGGCAAGCGUUAUCCGGAUUCACUGGGUGUAAAGGGAGCGUAGACGGCCAUGCAAGCCUGGAGUGAAAGCCCGGGGCCCAACCCCGGGACUGCUCUGGGAACUGUGCGGCUGGAGUGCGGGAGGGGCAGGCGGAAUUCCUGGUGUAGCGGUGAAAUGCGUAGAUAUCAGGAGGAACACCGGCGGCGAAGGCGGCCUGCUGGACCGCGACUGACGUUGAGGCUCGAAAGCGUGGGGAGCAAACAGGAUUAGAUACCCCAGUAA